AGCCCCAAACAUGCGUGACGUUUAUAUUGUGCGCCGAAAAACAAACGCACUACCGCCGUUCGCUAUGAAAAGUUAUCAGAGCGCCUGGAAAAAUAUAGAAGAACGAAAGACUUUCCAGAAGAACAGCUCAAAUAAUGCUAGAAAUCAAAAAAGAAAGGAUGAUUGACAUACCCUCCACUGAUGAUGUUGCUUCUGGUUUCUUGCUACCUGAACCUGCCACCCAGCUCUUAAGACCGGCUACUCAUUGAUUUAAGAUCCUUCCAUUAUACAGGAAUCACUUCGGUGCCCCAACCUUUCAUGAUAUCUCUGUUUUUGACAUUAUACCUGGCAUAUGUGCACCAUUGCUGUUUCCAAGUGCAUCUUCUGUUUGAAAUUGGCAAUCUUGACCAUGUAACUGGCAUCAUGGAGUCCCACAAAUACCUGGACACUUUAAAGAGGAAGAAGAAAUUGAACCUUGGUGAUCAUUGGACUCUCCAGGAAGACAAUAAUCCCAAACACAACUCCAUGUUAACCAAAGCUUGGAUGAGAAAUGAUUCCUGCAAUGUCCCGGAGUGGCCUUCUCUGUCCCCAGAUUUAAAUCCCAUUGGAAAUAUUUGGUGGGAUUUAAAGAAGGCAGUUGAAGUGUGGAAGCCAUUAAAUAUCAAUGAGCUGGAAACUUUUGUGCAUGAUAAAUGAGCAAAGAUUUCAACAGAGAGGUGUAAGCUUAGCAAAAAUAGUUAUUAGAUGUUAUAUAGGCUAAAGCAUGCUCUACAAAGUACUGAAGCUGGGAGGUUGAAUAAUAUUGCACAUGUCCAUUUAGUGAAGUGUUACAUUUUUUCAUUUGAACUUAACCUUCAAUCUAUUUAUGUUCUCAAAAAAAAUGUGUCAAUAAAUAUUUUUUGUUGUUUAAUGAUGAUUUUUGUCAUAUAUUUUCAUUAACCUCAAUUCAUAUCACUAUAAUGCCUGUUGAGUUGAGGGGGUUCAGUGUUUCUGAUUGCAACUGUACAUUGAUAAUACACGUGACUGACUGAAUUUUUGGCAUAAUGAAGUUCACUUCGAUUUAAACUUAUUUGGUAAUAAAUAAGAUGAUACCCACAUACACCAAUGUAUAAGCUGCUUUGAAAUUGGAUUGUAAAUAAGGAGGAACAUGUAGGAUUGAUCAUGAGUAAAUGCACAUUUAUUUUUCUCCUGUUGUAGUGCUACAAACUUUAUUUUCUUUGAUAAUUCAGUUUAUCUUAGUCUCCUCUAUGCUGUAAGAAAUCGGAACAAGCAGUUCAGAGUUUAUGUUAAAAAACAACAGGCUUCUAAAGUAUUGCUUAAGCAGAUGUCAAUGAUAUGAUUUGGGUUGUACAGGCAAGUACAUCUGAAGAGGAGACAGAUAUAAUACUGCUGCUGAUCAUAAUCUGCCUGCCGCUGAAACUGUGGAAUGAUCCCAAUUGCCAACACUGGCCAUGUUUAUAGCUCAAUCAGUAGUAAAGAAUCUUUGCAUUCACUUCCCAAAACAAAAACAGAAGCUCAUUAUUCCUCAAUCGCAACCCUACACAAACACUUUAUUAGGUGCUUAUAGAGUAGGGGUUUCCAAGAUCAGUUCUGGUGUGUAGCACUGUAGCUACAGGUUUUUCAUUCCAACUAGUUUCACAAGUCAGUGGGUCACUCUUCUGUCUGUUCAAUCUAAUUAGCUGGCCUUGUUCUUAUGUUAUUCAGCAUUCAGAAAAAUGCUGUAGUAUGAUAUUUGCAUUUAGAAGAAAUUCACGAAUGUGUUUUCUUUGACCUAAUUGUAAACACAACAUUUUUUGCCAGUUUUAUUAUAGUUCACCUUAUUUCUGUGAAGUUUGCUCCUUAAGUUGUAUCCAAGUACUGACAAUUAGUGAUGUACAGUGCAGGAAAAGGUGCAAAUGACACUGAAUGUUAAAGCAGAGCCAUUACUUAAGUGUUUCAUUCAUAUGUAUGCUAAUUAGUAGUAAAAGGUUUAACUAAGUGGUACUCAACUUCAGUCCUGUGGACCACCUUAACUGUAGGUGUUCACCCAAAUCACCUUCUGCAGUUAACUAAACACCUGUCUUUAUUAAACAAGCUGUUGUUUCCAAUUUUAAACUUUUUUUGUGCCAAUCCAGAAGUUGCAAAAUGGGUUUGCUAAAUUUUCAGGGGAACGUAGUAGGCAUUUGUGUGCCUGAAAUUAACUGUUUUUUUUUCUUGCUUUUUAAGAUUUUCAUUUUUUAUGUUCUGGUCAUUUAAGCCUUUUCUUGUUAAUUAGCUCACAAGUGAAUUUUAUACUGGAGUAGCAGCUUCCCAUAUGUAUUUAGUUCCAUUUGCACCUGUCUUUGUACUGCUCAUCACUAAGUAAUUUGGAUACAAUUAAGUGGGUGUACUGCCUCCUGCAAAAUGGAUGGAGAAGCUGCUGUUUUUGGAUUCCUGAUUUUGAAUUUUGUGUUGUGUGUGGACACCUGUUAUAUCUCAGCCAGGGUUCUUCCCCUUUUUGGGAUGGAAAGCCUUCUUUUAUGUCUCUUUUUUGCUGAAUUUUAGUCACAGAUAUGCUGUUAUUUUGGUUUAUUGUCUGCUUUGCUUUCUGUGCCUACUCUAUGUUCCAUUUAGUUUGUCGGUGGUUCCCCAAGAGGCAGGGCCACCUGCCAGGAACAUCCCUCCACCCUAUAACUUUGGAGGAUCUUUCACAGUUAUUGAUGCUUUAAUUCAGAUACACUUUGGAGUUCUGAUAAGUUAUUGUGUUUCUAUGAUUGUUGUGGUAUGCUAGAUUUUCAACCUGUUUGUUCCGUCUUUUGACCACUUUUUGGACUCUUGGAUUGGGACUUGUAUUGGAUUGCCUUAUUGUUUCGGUUAACUCCAUUUUGCAUUUUAGUGCUCUAUGGAGGUUCAUUCUUGUUGAAUAGUGUUUUUGUGAAAAUUAACCUUUUAUAUAAAAAAAUCCAUGUGGCCCUCAUUGUAUCUAGCUGGGAUUUUUGAUGGGAUUUCCCCUUGUAGUGGACAUUUUUGGAAUUGUUUUUAGGACUUCUAGUCAUAAUAAUACCCUGAUUUUAACCCAUGCUUUGAUUAAGGCACUGUUUUUGGUUCGGGUUAUUGGCUUUGUUCAUUUUAAUUUUUGCCUUUUUUUCCUUGUUUUAUUAUUUCAGUAAAUUAUUUAUUUUAUAAAGAUUCUUUAUUUGCCUUAUCACUCAAGCCAGGGGGUUGGUGGUUUAUCCUCUGUCUUGAAGUGCUUUGUGUAUUUGACCGUUUAAAGCAUAUUUUUAAACUUUAAAAGUCUGAGUCCCGUUGUGGAUUUGUGCGGUCUGAACCCUGCCUGUUGAGUUUGCGGUCAAACUGCCUACAGUGAGGCCUGCUUCUGGACUGGUUAGUAAAAAUCCUUGCCUGGUUUGUGAAUUAUUUAGGGAGCCUUUUACCAUGUUUGCAUCACCAUUUCACAACAGGAUAUGAAUAACAAUGUGCAGGUAAUGAAGGAUGAAAUAAAAUGUAUAGGUAAGCUCUACAAGCAUAAGUUAUAAAAAAUAGUCAGUAAAAUAGACAGUAAAAUAAAUGUAAUUCUCUAACUUGACAAUGUGAAACAUAAUAAUAUCCUGCAUUGAACAGCUGGAACAAGUGGCAUUUUACAAAGAUGACUACAUUAGAACAUGUACUGACUGCAUGAGGCGGCAGCAGUUUUGAAAGGUAGUGGAAUCAGGAGACAAUCAAAGGUUCAGUAUGAACUAGACAAUGUUAACUACUGGGAAAGUGAGAAUCUGGAAAACAAGCUCAUUACACAAAAUCAAAGUCAUAGGGUGUAACGAGAGAAAAUCAGGAUAUGCAGGAAAGCUGAGCCAACUCAGAAAAACAUUUCCUAAACAGCGAUUAAAAUAAUGCACAAAAAAAAUAACAUCAGAGAUUUAAGUUGAAUCCACACACACUUCGACAAACUUGAAGGACGCACGCUGACCUUGUAUACCAGAUUGGUAAUGACGUCACAUGUCGCCCACUCCCAGCCAUCCUUCCUUCAACAGCCAAAUCCUGUAAGUUAAUUUUAAAUUUACCUUAGUGUUUGCUCAGUUUCAAUUUGAAAAUAGUGUAGCUUUAACAUAGAUAAUGGAAGAUUGUGUCCCACCCCAUAUAAGUUAAUUAAAUGUUCUAUAUGUUAGCUCUGAGUGACAAUGCUAUAGCUCUUUGAUUAAAGUAAGACAUCUAGAAAGAAACAUGAACUGUUAGACAGAUUGGCAUUAAAGGCAUAUAGUUUUCUGAUGUAACGUACAUAUUUGAAAUGAAUGAGAUAACAGAAAACUUACGUAAUGUAAUAUAGAUGUUUACCAUAGAUGACAUAGAUGAGAAGUUUCCUUUUUUGCAUGUAUUAUCAUCAACCUUUUUUCUUAUUAUUGUGUGAACUGUUUGCUUUGAAUUUCACUAAAAUCUUUAAAACAAA